GACAGGGGCAAUGUAGAGACCCGUGUCUAAUUUUAAAUUUAUUUUUAUUGAUGUUGGUACGUGGAAUUAUAAUUAGAUAAUUUUGUGCGCAAUGAAUUUUAGUUUGUAUAUGAAGAUGUAUGUUUGGUCAUGUGGGCCCGAGUUCGUGAGCCAUAGGACGAGAGUGUUGAGAGACCCGCGGUGGUUAAUUUUUAUGAGUAGUUACUAUUUAUUUUUAUAGCUCAUGGGGUAUUAGUGUAGCUACUUAUUAAAUUCUAGGACUUGAGAAGUGCUUAAGGUAGUUGAGGGGGUGUAGUGUAAUUACUACACUUAAAAUCAGAAAAUGGGAUCAGAGAGACCCGAUUCCCAUUUCUUCUUUUUUUUUUCCUUUUUCCUGCGUCUUCUCUCCCUCUCUCUCAAACCCUAACACUUCAACACCAAAAUUGAAGGCCAAUGCUUGUGAAUCUUGGAAAAAGGCGAAGAGGAAACGCGAUCUACAAGGAAAGGGCUACGCAUCUAUCCGAACAAAAUCUUGAUCGGCCAACUUUGGAGUUCCUAGCAAAUUCGGAGGUUUUCAUUUUUGAGGUUUGGAGGUGGAUUCGAGGCUUAAGAAUCAUGGGAUAUGUUCUAGUCUUUUAUUUAAGAGCGUAAUGGAAUAUUUGUAUAUUUUUGGCUUGUUAGACUUGUAAAAUUUUAUUUUGGGUUGUAAGAACUUGAAUUGCAAGGUACUUUAUUUUGGUAUUGUAAUUCGUAUAUUGAGAGAA